rnacentral:lncRNA from 1 species
GUAUCUAGAUUAUAGGCUUUAUAGGGUUGCACUGGAUCUCAUUAUACAGGCCAGAACUGAGAAAGUCACAGUCAGACAUCAAGUCAGAAACAAUUUUAUUGGUAGAUAAUGUCACUUCCAGUCCAUGCAGGUGGAUUUAUUUGGGGUUUUGUUCAUUUCAGUCCUCUCUCUGUGCACCCCUGUAUCAGAUGCAACCACCUGAAACUAAGAAACCAAUGAACUUCAACAUUUCAAGUGAAAGACCUAUAGUAUUAUUUUUCAGGUAGUUGCAUGAUACAUUCAAGUCUUUAAAUAGUGUGGUGGCUUAAGCUACUUUUCUCAUUUCCUUUCUUCACUUUCUUACUUUUUUGUCUCUAGUGAAAACUUCAUUUUACAACAUUUUAAUUAUAUAAUCUCUUUUUGGUCUAAUUGCAGAAUUAUUUGAUGGUGAGACAGUUCAUAGUUCAACCUCUUUAUUAAAGAAUUAUCAAUUAUUAGAAAUAAUUAAUUUUGUUAGCAGUGAUAAAACUAUCCAGACAAGUUAUUAUUGUGACUUUGUAGCCAGAUGGGUAUGAUUUUGCUUUGGCUGUUCAGCAUUUUGAUCCAUUGUGAUAUGUCUUGUGGUGCCUGUGAAUGAUUUUACCUGCAAAAUGAAUGACAGAAUAUCAGAAUGUAACAUUACAUUAAGAUACAUCCUUACAUUGCAAUAAAACUAUGUAGUAGAUGGUCAGUGUGAAGAAUAUGGUCUUUGACACUCUUUGUAUAUAAUAAACAUGCUAUUGUGUAAUGGAAAUGAUCAAAUAAAGUUAUUUCUGCAACAGCCCUUGCAUUCAAACACCUUAUUUGUAUUUUUCUUGUUCAUGCUUGAGCAUCA